rnacentral:misc_RNA from 1 species
UGUGCGCAAGGGAUAGCAGCGGAAAGCCCACAGUCCCGAUUUUUCGGGACGAGGACUUGUAGCGAAUAGCCCGACCCAGC